rnacentral:rRNA from 1 species
GACGAACGCUGGCGGCGUGCUUAACACAUGCAAGUCGAACGGUGAUGCUCCAGCUUGCUGGAGUGGAUCAGUGGCGAACGGGUGAGUAACACGUGAGCAACCUGCCCCAGACUCUGGAAUAGGCGCUGGAAACGGCGUCUAAUACUGGAUGCGAAACUGGCCCGCAUGGGCAUGGUUUGGAAAGUUUUUCGGUUUGGGAUGGGCUCGCGGCCUAUCAGCUUGUUGGUGAGGUAAUGGCUCACCAAGGCGACGACGGGUAGCCGGCCUGAGAGGGCGACCGGCCACACUGGGACUGAGACACGGCCCAGACUCCUACGGGAGGCAGCAGUGGGGAAUAUUGCACAAUGGGCGAAAGCCUGAUGCAGCGACGCCGCGUGAGGGAUGACGGCCUUCGGGUUGUAAACCUCUUUCAGCAGGGAAGAAGCGAAAGUGACGGUACCUGCAGAAGAAGCACCGGCUAACUACGUG